CAUCUGUGAAAGGUUAUGCUUUGAGUCGGCAAUGGCGGUUGUCGUGAGGAGUGUUGGAUGUGCGUGUUGAAAAAUUGUCCGUGUUUUGGUUCAUUCGGAAUGACUGAAAUGAUUCGGUGAGAGUUAUUUGUUUAUUGCAUUGUAGAUCUUAUGCAUGAAGUAUGAACUGUCAAGUGGACAAAAGUUCUACGAAUUCUUCGUCGAAGGCAAAGGAUGAUAAUUCCUGAGGGGCUACACUGCACGCAGUCUGCGUACUUCUAACUCUCCGGCCCGUGAUCAAACCAUAAUUACGGGCGCCAUUUUGUUUUUAUUGAAAAUCUAAAAGUUCAGAGCAUGGUCAAUAAUAAUCCCCAAACAUGUCCUUUGUAUGUCUUUUCAUUGUCUGAAAAAAAUUCCCAAACUUUGCCUAUUUUUUUGCUUAUUUGAAUGAGAAUCUGACCUUUAGUGUACAAUAAUUGUAUACAGUGACACAUACGGCUAACUGAAAUAAAAUUUUUUUCGACGU